CUGCUUCUGAGUCUUUUAACAGUGGUAUCUCGUAAACACUCUUCGCUGUACGGUGCGUGCGUUCGGUGUAUUUGUGCGUUUUGUGACUUAUGUAGCUUAGCAAAGAAAUGCAAUUAUUUUGUUUUUCACUAAUUUAAAUGUAGUAAAUUGGUCUUUAAUUCAACGCGCUACGUUUUAAGGCGUUUGAAAAGUGUUUUUUAGUGUAUGUGUAUGAGCAAUUUUUGUGCCAAAACAAGUUUGAGUACAAAUAUAUAAAUAUAUAUGAACAUGUGUAUAUAUGUGUAUACAAAUUCAAAUCAAAAUAAUCCAUGUUCUGGUGAAGCAGUUCGAGUGUUAAUUGAGUGCAUUCCAUUGAGACAUAUUGAGUGAGAACUAUUCGAAUAUUCAUCAACUGGAAAAUAAAAGUUGUCGCUGACGCU